GACGAACGCUGGCGGCGUGCUUAACACAUGCAAGUCGAACGGAAAGGCCCUGCUUUUGUGGGGUGCUCGAGUGGCGAACGGGUGAGUAACACGUGAGUAACCUGCCCUUGACUUUGGGAUAACUUCAGGAAACUGGGGCUAAUACCGGAUAGGAGCUCCUGCUGCAUGGUGGGGGUUGGAAAGUUUCGGCGGUUGGGGAUGGACUCGCGGCUUAUCAGCUUGUUGGUGGGGUAGUGGCUUACCAAGGCUUUGACGGGUAGCCGGCCUGAGAGGGUGACCGGCCACAUGGGAACGGGGAUACGGCCAGGAUUCCUAGGGGGGGAAGCGGUGGGAAAUAUGGCAAAAGGGGGGGAGGCCUGAUGCAGAAACGCCGGGGGGGGAAUAACGGCCUUGGGGUUGAAAACCGCUUUGGCCUUGAACGAGGCGUGGGGGAGGGAAAUGGGUAAGGAAGCACCGGCUAAUUAGGG
rnacentral:rRNA from 1 species